UGUCUUUACUUUGGUCUGAUCAGCUUGGC
rnacentral:piRNA from 1 species